rnacentral:rRNA from 1 species
GACGAACCGUCCAAACGUUGUUCGGAAUCACUGGGCUUGAAGGGCGCGUAGGCGGACUGCCAAGUCCGGGGUGAAAUCUUUCGGCUUAACCGGAAAAGGGCCUUGGAAACUGGCGGUCUCGAGGGAGGUAGGGGCCUGUGGAACUUCGGGUGGAGCGGUGAAAUGCGUUGAUAUCCGAAGGAACGCCGGUGGCGAAAGCGACGGGCUGGAUCUCUUCUGACGCUGAGGCGCGAAAGCCAGGGGAGCAAACGGG